CGCCUUGCGCAGUGGCAAUAUCGUAGCCUGUGAGGUUGAACCGAGGCGUGAUUAUUGCUAGUUGAAAACUUAACCCAAUACCCCGUCAAGCAGACUUGCAACACAGUUGGCUUUGGCAAUUUUUGAUAGUCUCUUCUUGGGAGA
ensembl:snRNA U4 U4 spliceosomal RNA